AUUGAACGCUGGCGGCAGGCUUAAGACAUGCAAGUCGAGCGAGAAAGCCCUUCGGGGUGAGUACAGCGGCGGACGGGUGAGUAACGCGUAGGAAUCUACCCAGUAGUGGGGGACAACUAGUGGAAACGCUAGCUAAUACCGCAUACGCCCUAAGGGGGAAAGCGGGGGAUCUUCGGACCUCGUGCUAUUGGAUGAGCCUGCGUAAGAUUAGCUUGUUGGUGGGGUAAUGGCUCACCAAGGCGACGAUCUUUAGCUGGUCUGAGAGGAUGAUCAGCCACACCGGGACUGAGACACGGCCCGGACUCCUACGGGAGGCAGCAGUCGGGAAUAUUGCGCAAUGGGGGAAACCCUGACGCAGCCAUGCCGCGUGUGUGAAGAAGGCCCUAGGGUUGUAAAGCACUUUCAAUUGGGAGGAAAAGCUAAUGGUUAAUAGCCAUUAGCCCUGACGUUACCUUUAGAAGAAGCACCGGCUAACUCCGUGCCAGCAGCCGCGGUAAUACGGAGGGUGCAAGCGUUAAUCGGAAUUACUGGGCGUAAAGCGCGCGUAGGCGGCUCUUUAAGUCGGAUGUGAAAGCCCCGGGCUCAACCUGGGAACUGCAUCCGAUACUGGAGGGCUAGAGUGUAGGAGAGGGAGGUAGAAUUCCAUGUGUAGCAGUGAAAUGCGUAGAUAUAUGGAGGAAUACCAGUGGCGAAGGCGGCCUCCUGGCUUAACACUGACGCUGAGGUGCGAAAGCGUGAGGAGCAAACGGGAUUAGAUACCCCGGUAGUCCACGCCGUAAACGAUGUCUACUAGCUGUAGGGGUACUUGAGACCUUUGUAGCGCAGCUAACGCACUAAGUAGACCGCCUGGGGAGUACGGCCGCAAGGUUA
rnacentral:rRNA from 1 species